GAAAAUUGAAAUAUCUCGUUGACAAAUAAGUUUAGGUAUAGGAACAUAUGGUAAGUCAAGAAUUAUUUUCGUAUGCUUAUUCUGAUACACACACAAAAAAAAUUCUUGAAUGACAUAGGAAAAGUCGAAGAGCCCCGUCCUUAAGUUAAAGUUCAUGCUUCUGUAGUGUAUACACUGUACUGUGAUGUAAUUACAAGUAAACUCUCUAAUUAGGAUAGAAUAGAAUUUUAAGUUUUUAACUAGCAAACCUCAAGGAUGGUUUGAGAAUGGUCAACCUAAAUGUCGUGAAAAUGAUGUGCAGUGCAUAGAGAGAUUGUGCCGGCCUGCUGUUCAUUUCACAAUUUCUUGUAGGCUACUUCAUUUUUACGUCGUAGCCCCACUGUUUUCAAUCGACUAAAAAUGAUGCAGCACAUGUAGACUAGAAAUUAAUCUGAUUUAUUUCAUUCCUAACUAUUACAAUUUUUUGAAUAAAUCUAAAAAUGACUUGAAAUGCAUCAGAGCCCAAGUUCUAAAGAAAAAGAAAUGAUGCUUGUAGUAGGCUAGUGGUCCUGUUCAUAGAUUAAUAAUAAUAUUUAUACUAAUAAAGGAAACACCAACUUUUCACAGGUCUACCCACCCCCACCUAUAGUUGGGCAACUCUUUCGAUUCUUUUUUAGCAACUAAUGUCUGAAAUAAAACUGUAACCGCAGUUUUAAUAUGUUACUAUGUGGGACGACUUACCAUCUAUCUCGAGAUUAUCCGAAAUUGCAUUUGUUAAAGCUGUUGCUUUAAUUGAACCUUCCCUUGACGAAGUAUUGAAGCCCAAGUUGUUGGAGAUUUCGUCAUUUCUUUUUGUUUCAAUACUUAUUCGUCGUCCACAAACUUCACUUUGUCCGAUCAAGAAUAUCA